GUGUGAAAAAAUACUUCCUUUUGUUUGUUUUAAACCUGCUGCCUAUUCAUUUCAUUUGGUGACCUUGGUUCUUAUGUUGACUUGGUUUUAAAACCUCCAGUGAUGGAACAUCCACAAGCUCCUAGGAGGCCUGUUCCAGUGCUUAACCACUCUGUGCAUUCAGAAGUUUUUCCUAAUAUCCAACUCUCAUUGGCCGUGCUGGCCACCCUCCCCUCGCACUGGUGCCCAGGCCUGGGACCGUUGCCUCCCAGGCCUGACACCUGCGUAAUGCACCCAGACUGCCCUUGCCGCCUUCACCAUAGCUCCACCCUUGGCUCACGUUCCCUUUGUGAGCUACCAUAACCCCCAGAUCCUUCUCUGCAGUGCUACCACCUAGCCCAUUUCUGUAGUUGUGCAUUUGAUUUUUCCUUACACACAGUCACACUAUGCACCUGGUUUUCUUGACUGUCAUAGUGAAUUCAGCCUCACUGCUCUAGUUUAUCAAGUGCAUUUGAAAUUCUAAUCCUGUCCUCCAAAGCGCUUGCAACCCCUCCCUGCUUGGUGUCCUCCACAGAUUUUAUAAGCAUAUUCCCCAUGCCAUCAUUAACAAACAUCCUAAAUAGUGUUAGAGUCAGCCCAGGACAGACCACUCCAGGACCCAGCUUGCUACUUCCAUGAAGUCUGAGAGCAACGCUGGGGAACGAUUCUUUGAGUAGUUUUCAACCAGUUACGCACCCAUUUUAUUGCAAUUUCCUCUGGACCAUAUUUCCCUAGUUUGCUUGAGACUGUCACAUCAGCCUGUGUCAAAAGCCAUCUCACUUCUACUGCUUCCCCCCAGGCAGCAGCCUGGUUCCCAUCAGAUGAGGACAAUAGCUUGGUUUGGCUAAGAUGGGGUUAUUACUGAGCACCCUGUCAGUGCUAGGAUGUGUGGCACUGGCCUGUCCCCCUUCCUUGGGUUGGGGCAAGGUUGGCAGAGUCUUGCCAGCAGACAGGGCAAUGCAGAGCUGUUCCUGGCAGUCUGGUCCACAGGUCUGUGUCCUAAUUUAAAUGCCCUGAGCUGUGGGGCUUCCACCCCAGCCUUGGGACUAGCCCAAAGCUCAUCACUCUCCCUGCAAACUAGCGCAUGUUAGUCUAGCUACGUGUGCUCUCAAUGGCCCUGCAUUCAUCCCCAAUACAGUCACCCUGCCAAGUCCUUUCUCCUGGGUGUGCCCUCAAUGGCCCU